UUGCAAUGCCACGUAAGGGGUCUUCUACUCAAGUAAUCAUGGUACUAAUAUCGUUCGAAAUGAUUUCAUACUCUCCGAAAUCACACUGAAAUCAGCAAUAUUAAAAUAAAAUUCUACUUUGUAAUGAUUGGUAGUCAUGAGAAAACGAAAUUAUAUGAAAUCUUAGAAAACGUAACUAAUCAUGAAAUAUUUUAAUCAUGGUGUCAUUAUUUUCUCAGUGAAACACGCCUUGAUGUGACGAGUAUCGGCGAUGAUAAUUCUUCAGUCAACGAUACGUUUAGUCGACUUUAAUGCAGAGUACCGACGACUUUGCCUGUAGUAACGGCUUUCACGGAGGACUGACAUAUAUUCUCCAAUCAACGACUGACAUCAGUCGGUACUAAAGAUCUUUGUACAGAAUUAAAAACAGAAACUCGAGAAAUGGGUUUGCGUCAUGAGUGUAAAAAAUCGCUGAACUAUUAUAAGAAAUGUUUACAAUCAUAGUAUAGCUGAUAGUGUAAACAUGUUAAACUUGUAGGUGCGUCCUUUUAUGUUAGCUUUUUCUGAAUAACGAUAACAGGAUUAGUGGGUAUUUUUGUUUAUGUACAUCAAAAAAUGCUUUAUUUAUGCAAAGAUUGUAGAUCAUACAACAUCAAUCUUCAUUUGUAGUUCGAGCAUUCAUUAAAAGCUUCUGAUGACAUCUAAGUCCGCUGGAUUUGGCAGCAUUGUUUAGAAAUCUGGAACAUAAAAAAAUAUCUCCCGGCGACCCAACUUACCGUACAAUCCAAAAAAUCUGGCUGAACCAUUAUUAAGCUACGAUCAGUAUGUGGUUGAGGAACAAGAUCCUUAAGUAUC
rnacentral:lncRNA from 1 species